rnacentral:rRNA from 1 species
GACGAACGCUGGCGGCGUGCCUAAUACAUGCAAGUUGAGCGCUGAAGGUUGGUACUUGUACCAACUGGAUGAGCAGCGAACGGGUGAGUAACGCGUGGGGAAUCUGCCUUUGAGCGGGGGACAACAUUUGGAAACGAAUGCUAAUACCGCAUAAAAACUUUAAACACAAGUUUUAAGUUUGAAAGAUGCAAUUGCAUCACUCAAAGAUGAUCCCGCGUUGUAUUAGCUAGUUGGUGAGGUAAAGGCUCACCAAGGCGAUGAUACAUAGCCGACCUGAGAGGGUGAUCGGCCACAUUGGGACUGAGACACGGCCCAAACUCCUACGGGAGGCAGCAGUAGGGAAUCUUCGGCAAUGGACGAAAGUCUGAACGAGCAACGCCGCGUGAGUGAAGAAGGUUUUCGGAUCGUAAAACUCUGUUGGUAGAGAAGAACGUUGGUGAGAGUGGAAAGCUCAUCAAGUGACGGUAACUAACCAGAAAGGGACGGCUAACUACGUG